rnacentral:misc_RNA from 1 species
GAUGAAGAACGUAGCGAAAUGCGAUAAGUAAUGUGAAUUGCAGAAUUCAGUGAAUCAUCGAAUCUUUGAACGCACAUUGCGCCCUCUGGUAUUCCGGGGGGCGUGCCUGUUCGAGCGUCAUUAUAACCACUCAAGCUCUCGCUUGGUAUUGGGGUUCGCGGUUCCGCGGCCCCUAAAAUCAGUGGCGGUGCCUGUCGGCUCUACGCGUAGUAAUACUCCUCGCGAUUGAGUCCGGUAGGUCUACUUGCCAGCAACCCCCAAUUUUUACAGGUUGACCUCGGAUCAGGUAGGGAUACCCGCUGAACUUAAGCAUAUCAAUAAGCGGAGGA